rnacentral:rRNA from 1 species
AGGAUAAACGCUGGCGGCGUGCCUAACACAUGCAAGUCGAACGUCCUACUCCGCAAGGGGUAGGGAGUGGCGGACGGGUGAGUACCACGUGGGUUAUCUGCCUUUAGGUGAGGAAUACCGGCGAGAAAUCGCCGACAAUACCGCAUAACUUUGGAAACAAAGAAAGCUCCGCAAGGGGUGCCUGAGGAGGAGCCUGCGCCCGAUUAGUUGGUUGGCGGGGUAAUGGCCCACCAAGACUGUGAUCGGUA